GAGUUCACCUCCCGGCACUGGGCUCAGCCUCUCCCGCCGCCACAUCGAGGCACUGACGGUACCCACCUCCCGCCUGCUGAGGUUCGGGGAGGCUGAGGUUUGGAUGCGGUACUCCCAUCACCUGCUCACUUGCCUGCCGCCUCUGUUGCCACUCCCGUCCGCGUCACACGUGUCAGGCGUGGGGCCGGCUGAGCUCACCCCAGGUGUUCAGGAGUCGCCCUCUCUGCAUGUUUCCCAAAUUGGAGGCGUGCCCAGAGCGAGCGGGUGGACAUCUUAGCGAGCGUCCCUGUGGCACGGCCACGUCUCCACCCCCAGGUGGCUGCUCUCCCAGAUUCCAGGAUGGGAAGGACUGGGACGCCUCCCUGAAAGCCCUGCCACUCAGGAGUCUUGCUGUGAAUCUCAUUGAUCUUGAAAAUUUCAAGCAAAUAUUCUGAUUAUUCACCAUAAAAUCCAACAGUGCACCAGGAAUAAAGUCCCUGUUCACAUAAGGGACAGAAGGAAUUUAAACCCAAUCUUUGCCUGCGAACCGACUGGGUUUGCUCUGUGGAUUUCCAAGCGUCUUUUGCCCGGGGCUUUGUUAAGGAUUGGUUGAGUUUCAAGCCCCAGGGCUCAGGUAGAAAGCAGAGUGCUACCUCCAGCCCCCACCCUGCUGCACUCAGAGCCCUGGACUCUGCCGGGAGAAGCCUGUUGCGGAGGAACGGGGCCCGGGAAGGAGGUCUGUCGCUGACUCUUGGCUGUUUGUCAGGUGGACGACAUCCUUGGAGAAGGCAGCGACGACAGCGACAGCGAGAAGAGGAGGCCUGAGGAGCAGGAGGAGGAGCCCCAGCCCCGGAAGCCAGGGACCCGCAGGGAGCGGACGCUCGGGGCACCUGCGUCCAGCGAGAGGAGCGCGGCAGGGGGCCGGGGGCCCAGAGGCCACAAGAGGAAGCUGAAUGAAGAGGACGCCGCCAGCGAGUCCAGCAGGGAGUCCAGCAACGAGGAUGAGGGCAGCAGCUCCGAGGCCGACGAGAUGGCCAAGGCGCUGGAGGCGGAGCUCAACGACCUCAUGUGAGCGCGGGCAGCGGGCAGGGACUGAAGCCUGACCGACCUCCAGCAGCACUCGGACGUCCCCGGACCAGCCCUCAGUCUCGGUCCACGCUGCUUUCUUCCCAAAGGACAUGUAUAUUUGCAGAGCUCCACAUACAGAAACACAUUAUUUUGCAGAAAUAGGUGUUUUUAAGAAGUUUUACUACAGGAAUGUCUACUUUUGUAAGUGACAGGUGUUAAAGGCCCAGGUGUGCUGUGCCAAAGAGCUCAGCAGAGGCUCACGUGGCCCAGGCUGGUGCGCCCGCUGUCUCGGUAAGGGGCGGGUUGGUGUGUUUUCCCCUUGUGUACCAGAGCACAUUCCUUAGGGGACGGCUUUGGGGGUCCCACGAGACAUGGACUAGGAGUUUAAGCAGGACAGUGUGCGUGCACGAGCUCCGAGCCCAGCACAGACAUGCCUGGAACCCCCGCCGCCUGCUGCUCCCUCCUAGGGAACCCAUUUCCGGGGAACGCCGUGACUGUCGGGCAGCCUGGAGCUUCCUGCAGCCUCCUACGCAGGGUCCACGCCACGUGGCCUGGGCUGCCAUCCUGCCGUCCUCCCACUGGCAUCCUGGCAAGGGGGCGUUGCUUUUCCUGGGCGGCCUUUUAUGUCUUGGAGACACCUGAUGUAAAGUUUCUGUAAAUCUAUUUCAUAUCUGACCCACCAAACAGAUUUCUCUUUAAUAAAAAUCCUUUUUGU
rnacentral:lncRNA from 10 species